GAUGGUAAAACAUGUUACUACGGGUUCUUCAUGUGGAAUGUGACCAUUUUGUUAAAGAAUUAUUAUAACAGAGGCGGUCAACGACAUGAUCAAAAAUUAGUUUCUUUGCGCGUUCCUAUGACAAAAUGCAAUCAACAUGAAAAUUACUUUAAACUGACUGAAUUCUGUAGGCAAACACAAAGACACCGGAUUCUUAAUGUCGUCGCUUUGGUCCAAUUGCAUAAACAUGUGAUGAUCAGCUUCAGAGAAGUCAAAAGGAAAGUAGGAAAACCUCAGCACAACAUAUGCAACAUAACAUCUCAAGUAAACCUAUAGAAGUGACAUUUGAGAAACUUAAAAAAAAAGGAACAAGCUCAUCAGGGGCUUGGGAGCAUUGAUGUGAGGUCUUGACCUUCAGGGAAAUUCUCCGUGUCCUAGAAGUACCUAAAUGGAUGAAUAGAAAGUCACAAUAAGACAGAAGGCGACUAAAAUGUCACACCAAAGCAUGCUAAGAGCCAGUUCUUUUGGGCAAUUCUCCGAGAAUUGACCCCCUCCCCAGCUUCUCCCAGAAUUGCCACUCUAUAUUUUCUUACAAUUCCUAGCUAACUAGAUCUUAACUAGCUAGGAAUUGUAAAAAAAGAUGAAGUGGCAAUUCUAGGAGAAGCUGUGGAGGGGGUCAAUUCUCGGAGAAUUGCCCAAAAGAACUGGCCCUAAGUUGUUGUCCACCAGGUCUUUCACAGAUUGUUAUGUAUUAUAUUUCCUUCCCAUUAGUGUAUAAGGUUGUGCACGAAGGUCACCAAGGUAAGAACAUGCAGAAAUUAAAUCGAAGUUGGUCAGAUACGCAAAUAGCAUCCUAUAUUAGUAAACAGAGGUGCAUACUUCCAUUUAUCAGUAGAUUUCAACUUAUGUUUAUUUUUGUAUAAAGAAUAAUAAAUGUAUAUGUCUAGUAAAAAAACUAUAAAAUCAUGUACUACAUCAGUAAAAUCGAUACGAUCCAACGUAGCACAUGUUGUGAUAAUAUGCACAGCCGGUCGACAUAGAACCUAACUUGUGCUACAUCAUUUAGAUUAAAAAGGACGGGGAAGCUACUACAACUUCCUGUACUGGUCAUCUAAUACAAAUAAACAAUGCAAGAAAAGCCUCUUUUACUUAGACCAUACAUAACAACGAGAGAUGGGAUGGUGACCAUGUAAAAUAAAUUACCGGCAGUGGAGAUCAGCGACAAUCGUGACUCGUCACCAUAAAAGCCAUAAGCCCUCCCACACUCAUCAUACAUAAAUACACAAGAACAUAAGAAAAUAUAUUUUUUAGGAAAAAUGUUCAAAAAUACACAUUUUUUGCUUGUGAUGAUAUACAUGCAGCAGUUAAUGUAUUAUCCAUAAAACAAAGAAUGUAUGCCUCAUAUUAAUCAUCCUUUCACACAUAACUUAACAUGCAGCAAAAGGAUUUAAUCUAUAGUUCAAGAUCAAAAUGAAUGAGUCAUUUACAGUUAGGCAAUUAUUGAUUAUAAUGGAGUGUGAAGACAUCAUAUAUUUACUUGAUGGAAAUUGCAGUCAAGAAAAGCAUAGAAUGAGUCAAGUACCUUCUGGUUUGCCCAAUUUGCUUGUGGUCAUCAAAGGUGUUCUCGAGAUCAAACAACCAAGUAUGAACUCCCAAACUUCUGACCAAAUAGCAGGGUGUACACCUUAAACCACAGAGAAUAGAGAGCCGGCCCGUGUUAGAGAUUUAUAUGAGAGGUAGGCAAAAAAGUAAUGGUCUUAAAAUAAAAUGAGGGAUGUCUCAGAUAUCUUUACCCUUGUCAGAAUCCAGUUUAGAACAUAGGGAAUAUUUAGGGAGCCUUGUUGCAGAAAUAUAGCAUGCCAUUUUCAAUCACCCAAUGUUUUUCAAGCUGAAACUGAACGGAUUGGCACUAUUGAUUUAUCACACUUCUCAGAGAUCAGAAUCCUUCCCAUGGCGCCUCAUUCCGACUGUACACAUACCCAUGCCAAAUUAAUCACAUUUGUAGAACGGUGCUCCAAUGAUGUAAUCUGAGAAUUUGUACAAGACAAUUUUUUCUGAAUACAACCAAGUGUAAGUCGGAUGAAAGUUUACACAUAAUUCAGUCCAAGGGUCUAUGUUGGGCGAGCAGGAGUCACAGCAGCGUGCAGCUUAGCUGCGUACAGCACGGCGGCUAAUCUAAUUGAAUGUGAACUGAUAUACAGAAUUUGUCUGAAUGCUACAUUGAUGUACAGAAUUUUGUGAUGUAAUCUGCCGUCCGUCUAUGUAAUCUGUCCAUGUAUGUUGCUGUCAAAUGUUAUCACUGACGAUCCAUAUGAACUUUGGGUACUGUUUACUUAACUCUGGAGUGAAUCAGUUCAUUUUGCCAAUAAUUUUUGACAAGAACUCUUAUGGACAGAAGUUCAUCUUGCCAAUACUUUUGACAAGAAGCAUGAAAUUUCAUGCAAUUGGCAGAAUUAAAACAAAAGGACAAAAACAAAUGAGAUGGCAAGAUAUCAUGCCACCUGACUACAACAAACCCAGUCGAGUAUCAGAAGCAAUUAAUUGGAGGCAACAUAAUAGUAGUACAAUAACCGGAGAACAUCUGAGUAAAUCAGGAGCCUCAGGUUUAGACACCAAUGAGGACCAAUUGAGCAUGCCAACCACUAUAUUCACAUAAUAAGAUGAACUCGACGUCGCACCAAGCGCUCCUACUACAUUAACAACUACAAUUUCCUAAAUAUCUGAUGAGACAAUCAAUAUAUUAUGCAUCCCACUGAGCAAUACUAUUAUGCAUAAUUCAUUUUAAAAGGCCCUCAGUUCAAAUUUAUAUAAGAUCUCAAAUCUUUGGAGGUAAGUCUCUUCAAAUCUGAGCACAUCUUACCAUCCAAGCAAACUGAAAUAGGAAAGGAAUACUCUAAAUCCGAUGCACCAAAAGUUGAAGAAAACCUCGAUCGGUCUGCUCACCUCAGCUUAGCCGGAGCCACUGUGUAAGUGGCCAAUACCCGGCAAGCGAACGAUUCCCGACGUCUUCCAUGGCGGCAGAGCUCUCCUUCCUUUCACAAAGCGUCUCCCUCACGGACUAGGCAGGGGUGAGGUGAUGCUCACGAAUGAGGCAGGGGCGCGGGCAGCGCCAUCGUGGCUCACAUAGGCACAACCCCCGUGCUACCUCUGCCAAACACCAUGAAGGAGAAGAGGCGGAUGUGACGCGCUAGCUUGACAGACGCAACGACAAUGGGCAACACCUGUAGUACUAAAAGAAAAUCAGCUUUGUUUAAGGUAGUAACUUCCACAGUCGAGAAAAUAGGAGGAUUUGGUAAUCAUAACGCGACUAUCUAUACACAAUCAAACAAAAUCAAAGGGCCAUCUAGCCAAACCAUAAAAAGAAUAUAUUCAUGUAAUCACCUGAAAUCAAAGUUUCAUUGAAGCAUUCAGUUCAACAAUAAACCAUGCAACCUUGAUUCAGGCCUUGUAGGUAUAUUGACGGACCAAACAAGGAUAUCUCACAAUUUAGCCCUCCCUCGGUGUGAGCCUCUC
rnacentral:lncRNA from 1 species